rnacentral:rRNA from 1 species
UGGGGAAUAUUGCACAAUGGGCGCAGCCCUGAUGCAGCCAUGCCGCGUGUAUGACGAAGGCCUUCGGGUUGUAAAGUACUUUCAGCGGGGAGGAAGGCGAUAAGGUUAAUAACCUUGUCGAUUGACGUUACCCGCAGAAGAAGCACCGGCUAACUCCGUGCCAGCAGCCGCGGUAAUACGGAGGGUGCAAGCGUUAAUCGGAAUUACUGGGCGUAAAGCGCACGCAGGCGGUCUGUCAAGUCGGAUGUGAAAUCCCCUGGCUCAACCUGGGAACUGCAUUCGAAACUGGCAGGCUAGAGUCUUGUAGAGGGGGGUAGAAUUCCAGGUGUAGCGGUGAAAUGCGUAGAAAUCUGGAGGAAUACCGGUGGCGAAGGCGGCCCCCUGGACAAAGACUGACGCUCAGGUGCGAAAGCGUGGGGAGCAAACA